CGAUUUCCGUGUCUAACAUUUGACCCGUUCAUCUUAUUUAAAAAAAUUAUGAAAAAAUUUAAAAAGAUAAGCUAUGCAUAAAGUAUUAUUCAUGUUUUAUCAUCUAACAAUAAUGAAAAUACUAAUCAUAAAAAAAUUUCAUAUAAGAUGGACGGUCAAACGUUGGACAUGUAAACCUAAAAAUUCAGUCUUU
rfam:Oryza sativa Japonica Group DNA, chromosome 8, cultivar: Nipponbare, complete sequence.